CAGGGGCCCAUGUCAUUCUGCUCUGGGUUCAGACGUGCACUGCAGCAGCACCGGGACUUGACAGCCCUACGGCUCGAUCAGCUUUCUGUUUUCAUUGCCUUACGAUGCCAUGAGUGGAACUAUUGUCAAAUCAGAGUUCACUCCCCAGCUUUUCAGUCUUUCCCCUAAUUCUUGCUCUAUCAGAGGUCGAGGACAACAGUAUAAUGAUUCAUAGGUUCUACUUCCUGGCAAGUAAUCAUUUUCCCACGGGCCCUUGUGAAUUGAUGAAUAUGAAGACACUAAGAAAGCAGAAAUAGAACUGAGAAGAAUGAAAUAACUGUCUCUACCUUUCUCGAAUUGUCUAAUAUGGAAAGAAUGAAAGACAGCUAAUAAGCAACUCUCUGCAAGAAGACAUAUGGCUUAGGUUCUGCUGAGCUAUUGGUGAUUUGAUUCCAUGCAUAUGUAUUCACUACUGAGAUGGGAUCUUGCUAUGUGGCCCAGGCUGGCCUCAAACUCCUGGCCUCAAGAUAUUUCCCCCUGCCUUGGCCUCUCAAAGUGAAUCUACUUGGAGAGAGUCAAACACAGAAUCCCUUUGAAUUUAAUGGCCAUUCCAGGUGAUUUGAACAGCCAAAUAAGAAACAGGUCCUCUUCAAUGUACAAUCUGCCAAGUAUGAAGUCUGAAUGACCAUCAUUAUUAUGUAUUUAAUGUGCAUAGAAAAUCUAUCUGCAACCUUCCAGAGUGUACCAGAAGUUUGGAAUGUACAUUAUUAUUGGCUCCAUCUCAAACCACUCAUAAAUCAAAGAAAAUAGCAGUUCCAGAGGAAUCAUCAUAGAGGCUUCUAGGCCCCCAUGCUGUGUGAACCUGGUGAGAAAGGGAAGUCUGCUCUCACUGGACACUGGAACUGUUUGUCUCUGUCUCUGCUGUACUUUCCCUGCCUCUACCUCACUUAGUAAAGAAAUCAUCUUUGCUUGAUAACUAAAACAACCAAUAAGGCUGAGAAAGGGGAAAACCCACAUCUGGAUUUAAAUACAAGGUAUUGGGCCAGCUGCUGGGGAUUAAACUUUGAACAAAACAGAUAGAAUCUAUGUCCUCAUGGGAGUGGCUAAUGGGAGAGUCGGAACAAAAAAA
rnacentral:lncRNA from 1 species